GCAAACAACAAAAAAAAAAUAAAAAAGUUUGAGUCAUAAUAGUUGCCUUUUAUAUUUAGGUAUCACAAACACAAUGGAAUAAAAGUCUUUUAUUGAUUAGCCAUGUCAUUAUCCAUGUUCCCAAAAGAAGCUGCACAGGCUAACAAACAAUGACGUUGCUUCAAUAGAGACUACCUCCAGAUAGCAUAGAAAAGAUUUCGGUCUCUGUGUAUACCUCAUAAACCCCAUCUACCCCCCACCCACCCCUGCUGCAUCCACACCCUUUUUGGAACAAUAGUGACAUUGAAAACUGCUUCUCCUUACUCAACUUUAAGCAUUUUGUAAGAAUGCAUAUAAUUUUAUUGUACUCCCAGCAACCACCAUUUUAACCGAUCAUAUAAAAAGCUACACAUUGUUACACUUUCAGUCAGAUUACAUAGGAACUGAGAUUAGUGUUGUACACUAGCACGUGAUAAAGAUCCAGAAACCAAUGAGGCAAGUCCACCACAACUUAACACUAUAGAAGACAUAAAAAGAGAAAAGAAAAUAUGUAAUACAAAUUAAAAUGGCAGAAACAAACAAAAAAAAAAGAUCAGAUUUAAAAACCAAGCUAGGGUCAGUACCAUGAAAAGACUGAUUUAAUGAAAAGGGGAAAAAAAUAAAGAAAAAAAAAAGUUAAAAUAGUUCCAUCUUAAAAGAUCCUUUUCAUGUGCACCCGUCAGCAUCCGCGUCACAAUCCCUCUGUACCUGCAUUUUUCCAUCCAGGGCAAAAAAAAAAAAAAAAUUUAAAUAAAAAAAAAGGGUCGUAGCAUUAAAGGGAGACUGACAUCCACCAUUUCCCCGUUAGAUAUCUCCCUUUCGUCUGCGACAAGUGUGUUGUGCGUCAGGCACUUUCUGAAACACUAGCCCACCCUCUGGCAAACCUUCCUCGACUCUUCAAAUCACAAUGCAGAUUCAUUCAACAUACAGCUGUGGAGAGACAGAAGAUCAUCAAUGUUCAUUUAACUCAAACUUAAGCAGAAUACAGUGAACACUUUUGUUCAAGUUUUUGAAGCUCAUCUUACCUUCAAUACUUGUAGACUG
rnacentral:lncRNA from 1 species